UACAGAGGGGGCAAGCGUUGUUCGGAAUUACUGGGCGUAAAGCGUGCGUAGGCGGUGAGUUAAGUCUGUCGUGAAAUCCCCGGGCUCAACCUGGGAAUGGCGAUGGAUACUGGCUCGCUAGAGUGUGAUAGAGGAUGGUGGAAUUCCCGGUGUAGCGGUGAAAUGCGUAGAGAUCGGGAGGAACAUCAGUGGCGAAGGCGGCCAUCUGGAUCAACACUGACGCUGAGGCACGAAAGCGUGGGGAGCAAACAGG
rnacentral:rRNA from 1 species